rnacentral:rRNA from 1 species
CAAUAGCGUAUAUUAAAGUUGUUGCAGUUAAAAAGCUCGUAGUUGGAUUUCUGGUGGGAGCGAUCGGUCUGGCGCUUAGCGCGAGCACUUGCAUCGUCUCCGGCCAUCCUUGGGGAGAGUCUGUCUGGCAUUAGGUUGUCGGGCAGAGGAUCCUCAUCGUUUACUGUGAAAAAAUUAGAGUGUUCAAAGCAGGCUUAUGCCGUUGAAUAUAUUAGCAUGGAAUAAUAAGAUAGGACUUUGGUACUAUUUUGUUGGUUUGCGCACCAAAGUAAUGAUUAAUAGGGACAGUUGGGGGUAUUCGUAUUCCGUUGUCAGAGGUGAAAUUCUUGGAUUUACGGAAGACGAACUACUGCGAAAGCAUUUACCAAGGAUGUUUUCAUUAA